UGGGGAAUAUUGGACAAUGGGCGAAAGCCUGAUCCAGCCAUGCCGCGUGAGUGACGAAGGCCUUAGGGUUGUAAAACUCUUUCGUCGGGGACGAUAAUGACGGUACCCGAAGAAGAAGCUCCGGCUAACUUCGUGCCAGCAGCCGCGGUAAUACGAAGGGAGCUAGCGUUGUUCGGAAUCACUGGGCGUAAAGCGCACGUAGGCGGAUAGUUAAGUCAGGGGUGAAAUCCUGGGGCUCAACCCCAGAACUGCCUUUGAUACUGGCUGUCUCGAGGUCGAGAGAGGUUGGUGGAAUUCCUAGUGUAGAGGUGAAAUUCGUAGAUAUUAGGAAGAACACCGAUGGCGAAGGCAAUCCCCUGGACCUGUACUGACGCUCAUGCACGAAAGCGUGGGGAGCAAACGGGAUUAGAUACCCUUGUAGUCCCUGAGCGGGCUGGCAAGGCGCAU
rnacentral:rRNA from 1 species